rnacentral:rRNA from 1 species
GACAGAGGGUGCAAACGUUGCUCGGAAUUACUGGGCGUAAAGCGCGUGUAGGUGGGCCGAUAAGUCGGGCGUGAAAUCCCUGAGCUCAACUCAGGAACUGCACCUGAAACUGUCGGCCUUGAGUAGUGGAGAGGAAAGCAGAAUUCCUGGUGUAGAGGUGAAAUUCGUAGAUAUCAGGAGGAACACCGGUGGCGAAGGCGGCUUUCUGGACACUUACUGACACUGAGACGCGAAAGCGUGGGGAGCAAACAGG